rnacentral:rRNA from 1 species
UACGUAGGGGGCAAGCGUUGUCCGGAUUUAUUGGGCGUAAAGAGCGUGUAGGCGGCCAGGUAGGUCCGUUGUGAAAACUCGAGGCUCAACCUCGAGACGUCGAUGGAAACCAUCUGGCUAGAGUCCGGAAGAGGAGAGUGGAAUUCCUGGUGUAGCGGUGAAAUGCGCAGAUAUCAGGAAGAACACCCGUGGCUAAGGCGGCUCUCUGGAACGCAACUGACGCUGAGACGCGAAAGCGUGGGGAGCAAACAGG